CCUACGGGAGGCAGCAGUGGGGGAUAUUGCACAAUGGGGGAAACCCUGAUGCAGCGACGCCGCGUGGGUGAAGAAGGGCCUCGGCGCGUAAAGCCCUGUCAGCAGGGAAGAAAAUGACGGUACCUGAAGAAGAAGCCCCGGCUAACGACGUGCCAGCAGCCGCGGUAAUACGUAGGGGGCAAGCGUUCUCCGGAUUUACUGGGUGUAAAGGGGGCGCAGACGGCGAGGCAAGCCAGGAGUGAAAGCCCGGGGCCCAACCCCGGGACUGCUCUUGGAACUGCGUGGCUAGAGUGCAGGAUGGGCAGGCGGAAUUCCUGGUGUAGCGGUGAAAUGCGUAGAUAUCAGGAGGAACACCGGUGGCGACGGCGGCCUGCUGGACUGCACCUGACGUUGCGGCCCGAAAGCGUGGGGAGCACACAGGAUUAGAUACCCUUGUAGUC
rnacentral:rRNA from 1 species